AUUGAACGCUGGCGGCAGGCCUAACACAUGCAAGUCGAGCGGAUGAAGGGAGCUUGCUCCUGGAUUCAGCGGCGGACGGGUGAGUAAUGCCUAGGAAUCUGCCUGGUAGUGGGGGAUAACGUCCGGAAACGGGCGCUAAUACCGCAUACGUCCUGAGGGAGAAAGUGGGGGAUCUUCGGCCCUCACGCUAUCAGAUGAGCCUAGGUCGGAUUAGCUAGUUGGUGGGGCAAAGGCCUACCAAGGCGACGAUCCGUAACUGGUAUGAGAGGAUGAUCAGUCACACUGGAACUGAGACACGGUCCAGACUCCGACGGGAGGCACCAGUGGGGAAUAUUGGACAAUGGGCGAAAGCCUGAUCCAGCCAUGCCGCGUGUGUGAAGAAGGUCUUCGGAUUGUAAAGCACUUUAAGUUGGGAGGAAGAGCAGUAAGUUAAUACCGUGCUGUUUUGACGUUACCAACAGAAUAAGCACCGGCUAACUUCUU
rnacentral:rRNA from 1 species